UACAGAGGUCUCAAGCGUUGUUCGGAUUCAUUGGGCGUAAAGGGUGCGUAGGUGGCGGGGUAAGUCAGGUGUGAAAUUUCGAGGCUUAACCUCGAAACUGCAUUCGAUACUGCGGUGCUUGAGGACUGGAGAGGAGACUGGAAUUCAUGGUGUAGCAGUGAAAUGCGUAGAGAUCAUGAGGAAGACCAGUGCGAAGGCGGGUCUCUGGACAGUUCCUGACACUGAGGCACGAAGGCCAGGGGAGCAAACGGG
rnacentral:rRNA from 1 species